rnacentral:rRNA from 1 species
UAGGGAAUCUUCGGCAAUGGACGAAAGUCUGACCGAGCAACGCCGCGUGAGUGAAGAAGGUUUUCGGAUCGUAAAACUCUGUUGUUAGAGAAGAACAAGGACGUUAGUAACUGAACGUCCCCUGACGGUAUCUAACCAGAAAGCCACGGCUAACUACGUGCCAGCAGCCGCGGUAAUACGUAGGUGGCAAGCGUUGUCCGGAUUUAUUGGGCGUAAGGCGAGCGCAGGCGGUUUCUUAAGUCUGAUGUGAAAGCCCCCGGCUCAACCGGGGAGGGUCAUUGGAAACUGGGAGACUUGAGUGCAGAAGAGGAGAGUGGAAUUCCAUGUGUAGCGGUGGAAUGCGUAGAUAUAUGGAGGAACACCAGUGGCGAAGGCGGCUCUCUGGUCUGUAACUGACGCUGAGGCUCGAAAGCGUGGGGAGCAAACAGG